UGCAAAGUUCUUUCUUCUAUUUAAAUUAUCCACCUCCAUCAUUUUAUUAAAUUCCUCUAGAGUAAAUAAGCCAUUUGAUAUGAUUUAUGAUACUUAUUUUCAUUUCUUUAUUCUCCUAACAAAUGAGAACUUUAAGGCAUACCUUCUAUAAUUAUUUUUCUGAAAAAAGAUAAUGUGUUGGUCAUCCCUAAUGGUGAAGACUAAGCUACAUAUUAUACUUUCAGUUAAGUGUUAGUUGUAGAGAUAAAGUAAACAAGGAAAAUAGUAUAACCACAUAUGUCACACCAUGCAUAUUGAGUUAUAGUUUACCAUUUGCACCCCUAUUUCUGUUGUGAGUUAUGUUCUGUCCUCGAACUAUAAAGAGAUGUUUCUCAGCUGUCCAACAUGAGAAACUCCGAUAGGUGAUUCUCCCACUAUUAAUUUCUUUCACAAUAUAUAGUUUUAACUAGUUUUACCAAGAAAAAUUAUCGUGCUCGGCUAGUGCAGGAAGUAACAAUGGUAACAACAAGAUGGGCUCAGCAUAGCCGAGGCAUCUUAUCAGUUCCUUAUUGUUCUAUCCAAUCAUGAUACUGAUAGGCCUCUCAAUCUUUCCACUAAAGAGAUAGGCUUUUUCAUCUUUAAAAACUUAGAUCUGUGCAUAAU
rnacentral:lncRNA from 1 species